AAUCCCAGCUCCUCCACUUGUCAGCUGUGUGACUUCGGGCAGGUCAUUUCACUUCUCUGGGCCUUAUCACGCUUAUUAUUAUGACGUCUGCGCUGGGACGUUGCGUGCCUCCGUGGGUGUGCUGAUGCUCGUGUAAGUGCCCACAGUGUGUGGCGCAAGGUACUGCCAGAGUCUGGGAGAGACUUGGCCGUCCAGGCCGCUCGUCGCGGUCAAGGAGCGAAGUCUUUGAUCUGGUUUCCCGUCGGGUAGCGGCAGUCGGUGGGCGUGAGCAGCCUCUGAUAUUUCUGUCGUAGGCUCAGCUGCCGGGCUGAGAAAACGGAACUUUAAUUUUCCGCAGCUUCUACCGUGACCUUUCGGGAAAGGAUGGAAAGUUUUUUUUGCCCGUCACGACGCGAGAGAGCUACGUGACCGGUCGACCGUCGUCGCCGAUCUGACCCGGCUCCCGCCGCGCCGCUCUGACGACGUCUGCGUUACGGCAACGAUGGGCUGACUUACCGGAGGCCUCGUCGGACCCCCCUAAGGAACUCGGCCUCCUGGCUCCAAGGCAGCCCUUUACGGAAGGAGCGAAUAACUCCCGGGGAAAAACAGCUCGGACACUGCCGUGGGUUUUAAUUAGAUCGAGUCAUCUCAUUCCACAUGCUUUUUAUUCUGGUGAAAAAUAAAGUUACAAAAGUAGAUACAAAAACACUCUGUAAAAAGUAUAAUAAACAGUCCACUCCCCCCCCCCCCACCAACUUCCCCAAGCCCCUAAAGCUUUAAAGAGCAACAUAUAGAAUUUAUUUUCUGGUAAAAACUUUAUAAAACUCUUCUGUGGACCAAGGCUACUUGAGGCAAACCGUCUUUGAGGCAUUAAAAGAUGAAUAAAAGACAGGAGGAGCAGAGACGGUCGGAUGAGCCGGGCGUGGGGCGAGAGAAACUUUCCCCCGAGACAGAAAGUCCCUCGCUCGCGUUACCGACCACCGUUUCCGGAAGCCCGACGGCGAACACGAGUCUUGAGCCGGAAAGCCAGCCGAGCACGCUUCGCCGCCGGCGGCUUCGACGGGAGGCUGGCUUACCCGGUCGGGGGAGACGGCGCCUCGCACCGUGCUUGGCACCGGGUAAGCCCUUGAACAGAUCCCCUCAAAAGGCGAGAAUAAACCACGCUGGAGGCAGGGAACGUGUCCACCAAGUCGGAUGUGCUGCAUCUCCCGAGCGCUCAGUACCGUCCCUCUAGACGUGGCUCGUUACGGGCAGGGAUCGUGUCUGCUAAAUCCGUCGGGGCUCUCCCGAGCGCUCAGUAGAGUGCUCUGCUCAGAGCAAGCGCUCAAUAAAUAGCAUUGAUUAAUGGCUCCGGCCACAAUAAACAGUCAAUAGGAAAGGUGAAACACAA